rnacentral:lncRNA from 1 species
GGAUGGGAAUUAAUGGGAAGGCUAGAGUAGUCUCUUCAUUAGCCGGAAGGAAUUAGUCUCCACUAGCCUCAUUCGAAGAACGAAUAAGAAAAGGCUUACUGUUUAGGUAGGAUAGAUCGAUGUGGUCCAAUGGCUAAAGCUCUGCCAGCUUCUUUGGCAACGAAGUUCUUGGUAAUUAGCAAGGGGGAAGGAAGAUCUCCACUCAUUUCAUUCAUUCAGUACCUGCGGUGAGGCGCGACCCACAACAAACGAAGGGGGAAAGCUUGCUUUGCUUGGCUUGCUGUAGCCCUAUUUUUAGGCUUGGUAAGCGUAAGCUAUUGUUGUAGGCUCGAGAAGGGUAGGCUCGCAGCUUCGCUCAGCAGAAGAGCCUGACUUUCUAUUAGUCAAGCGCUAGCGCCCAACCGGGCUUUGAAGGGAUAGGGAAAGGGAAGAAAAGAAAGAGGGUCACUCCUUUUAGGAACAUGGCUCGUUCAUUCACUUGCUCAUGAACUCGCAGCUUCGCCAGAAGCUACGAAGGGGGGCCUCGCCCCGGGA